AACGCACAUUGCGCCCGCCAGCAUUCUGGCGGGCAUGCCUGUCCGAGCGUCAUUUCAACCCUCAGGGAACCCCUUCGGGGGGGACCUGGUGUUGGGGGCCGGCCGCCCGCGCCGCCCCCGAAAUGCAGUGGCGACCUCGCCGCAGCCUCCCCUGCGUAGUAGCACAACCUCGCACCGGAGCGCGGAGACGGUCACGCCGUAAAACGCCCAACUUUUUUAGAGUUGACCUCGGAUCAGGUAGGAAUACCCGCUGAACUUAA
rnacentral:misc_RNA from 1 species